GGAGUGCUAGCAAAUACUUUCCCGUGGAUAUCCACCCAUCGAUCUUUAUUUCGGAAUCAUGCAUAUGAACUCUCUUCGAAGUAGAGUCUCCCCAUUACCCUCUCCGUUUUUUUAUAUCUAAGCAAUGAGCAUCGGGGUUUACGCUAGCCCUGAGCCGGUUGGGCGGUAUGGAUAUCUGCUCUCUGGAUCUAAACGUAAUCGUAGGAAGUGGGGGAGACGACGAGAAAGCGAAUAAAUCAUGAAUGAACAGACAUUCGGUAUUUUUUCUUCUAUGGGGAAAUGAAAAUAAUAAAAAUAAAAAUAAAUUAAACAAAAAGUCUUGAACAACGACAAGGUAAGAAAGAAAGAAAGAAAUCACCAUUCUCACAUAGCAUAUUGUAUAGUAUACAGGCAUACAGUAACCACCAUCACCUCAAAAACCAAAACAAACAAACAAAGGAGUUCUACAAACAUUACAUCUAACUAAAACUUCUUCCUCCCCUUCAUACCCAACGCCUUUAUAUUCGCC
rnacentral:sRNA from 2 species